AUUGAACGCUGGCGGCAGGCCUAACACAUGCAAGUCGAACGAGUGGCGGACGGGUGAGUAAUGUCUGUGAAACUGCCUGAUGGAGGGGGAUAACUACUGGAAACGGUAGCUAAUACCGCAUACCAUCGGAUGUGCCCCGAUGGGAUUAGCUAGUAGGUGGGGGAACGGCUCACCUGGACGACGAUCCCUAGCUGGUCUGAGAGGAUGACCAGCAACACUGGAACUGAGACACGGUCCAGCCUCCUACGGGAGGCAGGAGUGGGGAAUAUUGCACAAUGGGCGCAAGCCGGAUGCAGCCAUGCCGGGGGUAUGAAGAAGGCCUUCGGGUUGUAAAGUACUUUCAGCGGGGAGACGUUACCCGCAGAAGAAGCACCGGCUAACUCCGUGCCAGCAGCCGCGGUAAUAC
rnacentral:rRNA from 1 species